rnacentral:lncRNA from 1 species
CUACAACAUCAGCUCCUGUCUGCAUCUCUCGCUGCAGGGCCCUCAAACUAGAAUAUCAGCUCCUCCCCGAUUCUUCACCUGCAUGACCCUCAAACUAGAACAUCAGCUCCUCCCCAAGUCAGCAGCUGCAAGACCCUCAAAUUACCACCUCAGCUCCUCCCGGAGUCUUCAGCUGCACGACCCUCAAUCUCGAAGAUCAGAUACUCUCGGGGUCUUCAGCUGUAGGGCCCUCAAACUAUAACAUCAGCUCCUCUCCGAGUCUUCAGCUGCACGACCCUCAAUCUAGAACAUCAGCUCCUCUCCAGGUCUGCAGCUGCAAGACCCUCAAACUACAACAUCAGCUCCUCUCCGG